rnacentral:rRNA from 1 species
UACGUAGGGUGCAAGCGUUGUCCGGAAUCAUUGGGCGUAAAGCGCGCGUAGGUGGCUUCGUAAGUCCGUUGUGAAAGUCAAAGGCUCAACCUUUGAGUGCCGAUGGAUACUGCGAAGCUAGAGUACGGAAGAGGAGAGUGGAAUUCCACGUGUAGCGGUGAAAUGCGUAGAUAUGUGGAGGAACACCAGUGGCGAAGGCGACUCUCUGGGCUGUAACUGACGCUGAGGCGCGAAAGCGUGGGGAGCAAACAGG